rnacentral:rRNA from 1 species
UACGGGGGGGGCGAGCGUUGUUCGGAAUUACUGGGCGUAAAGGGUUUGUAGGUGGUCUGCUAAGUCAGACGUGAAAUCCCUCAGCUUAACUGGGGAACUGCGUCUGAUACUGGCGGACUUGAGGACAGGAGAGGAACGCGGAAUUCCAGGUGUAGCGGUGAAAUGCGUAGAUAUCUGGAGGAACACCGGUGGCGAAGGCGGCGUUCUGGACUGUUUCUGACACUGAAAAACGAAAGCCAGGGGAGCAAACAGG